rnacentral:rRNA from 1 species
CUCAAAGAAAUUGGCGGGGACCCGCACAAGCGGUGGAGCAUGUGGUUUAAUUCGAUGCAACGCGAAGAACCUUACCUGGUCUUGACAUAGUAAGAACUUUCCAGAGAUGGAUUGGCGCCUUCGGGAACUUACAUACAGGUGCUGCAUGGCUGUCGUCAGCUCGUGUCGUGAGAUGUUGGGUUAAGUCCCGCAACGAGCGCAACCCUUUUCCUUACUUGCCAGCAUUUCGGAUGGGAACUUUAAGGAUACUGCCAGUGACAAACUGGAGGAAGGCGGGGACGACGUCAAGUCAUCAUGGCCCUUACGACCAGGGCUACACACGUGCUACAAUGGUCGGUACAAAGGGUUGCUACCUAGCGAUAGGAUGCUAAUCUCAAAAAGCCGAUCGUAGUCCGGAUUGGAGUCUGCAACUCGACUCCAUGAAGUUGGAAUCGCUAGUAAUCGCGGAUCAGCAUGCCGCGGUGAAUACGUUACCGCGCCUUGUACACACCGCCCG